GACGUAGGGCGCGAGCGUUGUCCGGAUUUAUUGGGCGUAAAGAGCUCGUAGGCGGCUCGGUAAGUCGGGUGUGAAACCUCCAGGCUCAACCUGGAGACGCCACCUGAUACUGCUGUGGCUAGAGUCCGGUAGGGGAGUGUGGAACUCCUGGUGUAGCGGUGAAAUGCGCAGAUAUCAGGAAGAACACCAGCGGCGAAGGCGGCACUCUGGGCCGGAACUGACGCUGAGGAGCGAAAGCGUGGGUAGCAAACAGG
rnacentral:rRNA from 1 species